UACGGGGGGGGCAAGCGUUGUUCGGAAUUACUGGGCGUAAAGGGCUCGUAGGCGGCCAACUAAGUCAGACGUGAAAUCCCUCGGCUUAACCGGGGAACUGCGUCUGAUACUGGAUGGCUCGAGUUUGGGAGAGGGAUGCGGAAUUCCAGGUGUAGCGGUGAAAUGCGUAGAUAUCAGGAGGAACACCUGCGGUGUAGACGGCUUACUGGACCAUAACUGACGCUGAGGCACGAAAGCGUGGGUAGCAAACAGG
rnacentral:rRNA from 1 species